UACUUAUAUUUUAUUUUGACACAGAUCAGGAAAGCGGAAUACACGAGGUAAAUAAAUACUUAUAUUUUAUUUUGACACAGAUCAGGAAAGCGGAAUACAAGAAGUAAAUUACUGUGUUGUCCAUGAUUUUAAUGUAUAUUGAGGACCUAUACCGGAUGCCAGUUUUUAUUCUCCCAACACCAUGUCAGCACCCAUAAGACAAAAGUUCCUAGAUUGGCACUGUCAGCAACAAGAAGAGGAUUACAUCUUUGACUUUCAAGAAGAGAUUUACACAUACCGCUGAUCAGAUGUACAUAUACUUCAACGGUGCUGUCUUCAAUUCAGGGAAGAGUUUCUCACAAACUACGAUGUAGAUCCCUUCAGAUACACGACCAUUGCUUCUGUAUGCAUGGCUGUAUACAGAAGCAAAUUUAUACCACCAUGAUUGAUAGCUCUCAUACCUAAUCACGGAUACUUUAUGAUCAACAAAUACAGCCAAGUAAGUAUCCAAUGGUUAGAUUAUGUAUAAAAAUCUGAGGGGCUAAGAUUCAACAUGCACUUAAUGGUGGUGAGAAACAAAUACUAAAUUAUAGAGUAGAUGGUUUCUGUAUGAAACAAAACACGACCUAUGAGUUUUAUGAGUGCUACUCCUAUGGUUGUAAUAAAUGUCAUGACUCUAACACACAGAAUGUAGUUCUAAAUAGACUCAUGUGGUUUAUUAGAAAUUGUACAUUUGAAAGACAGAAACAGCUCGAAGCUCUAGGAUACAAAGUGGUACCAAUAUGGGAGCAUUAGUUUAAAAAAAUGAAGUCUAAUGAUAAAGAUUUAAUAAAUUUCCUUACGGACCAUACAGUAGUUUCUUGCCUAGAAGUAUGAGACGCCUUCUAUGAAGGGAGAGUCAAAUAGACAAGACUUUUAUACGGUAUAAAAGAAGGAGAAAAAAUCAGGUACAUGGACUUUACAUUGCUAUAUCCAUGGACAAACAAAUAUUGUGAGUAUCUGGUUGGACAUUCUACCAUAAUAACAUCAAACUUCUCUAAUUUAAACAAUUCUUUUGGUCUUAUAAAAUGUCAAAUUCUAGCCCCAAGGAAAUUCUAUCAUCUAGCUUUACCAUUUAGAUGCAAUGUUAAAUUAACCUUUCCAUUAUGUGGAUCAUGUGUAAAAUUGAGAUCACUACCACCAGGUAACCACAGUGAUGAGAAGAAAACUUUCAUCAGUACCUGAGUCACAGAAAUAAAAAAAAACAGUCGAGUGUGGAUACCAGGUAAUAAGAAUAUAUGAGAUUUAUCAUUUUCGUGUCAAAUCUAGAGAUGUUUUUAUAAACUAUAUCGAUAAGUUUCUUAAAUUAAAGCAUGGAAUUUCUGGUUGGCCCUUUCACUGCAAAACACCUGAGGCAAAGAAAUAUUAUGUUGACCAAUAUAAGGAAAAUGAAGGAGUGCAACUGACUCCUGAAAAUAUUGUUUUUAAUCUAGGAAAAAGGUCAGUUGCAAAAUUAUAUCUUAAUUCUUUUUGGAGACAUUGGGGUACGUACCUUUGAGAACAAACCACAACUUACCUAUGAACAUCUGUUAAAUAAUACCAUUCAUUAAUGAACGAUAAUACCAAAAUAAUAACAGAAGUUACACUGAUUAAUGAAGUAAUAAUGACUCUUCAUCGAAAACAUAAGUAUGAAUAUCUGCCACAUAAAGAUCAAACCAACAUCUUUCUGGUGGCUUUCACAACAGAACAUGCUCGUCUGAAGUUAUAUCAUCCACUAGAUAAGUUAGGUUCAUCUGUAUCGUAUUAUGAUAAAGACAGUAUUGUAUAUAUUUCAGAUGAAUCUAAUGAUCCACUUCUAGAGGAUUAUUUUGGCGAGUUUACAGACAAACUAGCUGGACACUGUAUGACAUUGUGGGUCAGUGGUGAUCCAAAAAACUACGAGUACUUACGCGACGAUGGAAAGUCGU